rnacentral:rRNA from 1 species
AAACCAGCACCUCAAGUGGUCAGGAUGAUUAUUGGGCCUAAAGCCUCCGUAGCCGGCUCUGUAAGUUUUCGGUUAAAUCUGUACGCUUAACGUACAGGCUGCUGGGAAUACUGCAGAGCUAGGGAGUGGGAGAGGUAGACGGUACUCGGGAGGAAGUGGUAAAAUGCUUUGAUCUCUCGAUGACCACCUGUGGCGAAGGCGGUCUACCAGAACACGUCCGACGGUGAGGGAUGAAAGCUGGGGGAGCAAACCGGAUUAGAUACCCGAGUAGUCC